rnacentral:misc_RNA from 1 species
UCAGCAAUUAAUUCUAUUUUCUUUUUCAAAUGUCAAAAACCUACAAGCCACAAGAACUAUCACUAUCUUCUACUAAAGAGAAUUCCAAUUCCAAAAGUAGAGUUGAUAAACAAGAAAGAUGGCACCUCCCGUGGAGGGGAAUGCCAAACAUGCAGAGGAGUUUUGUUGCGUAUGAGCAAUUCUAGCUGUAACGUACAAGAGCAAUUCAACAGGACGUCACUAUAUACGCUUGUCCGGAAACUCAUUCUAAUUUGCUGGAAGCUCUGUUCUCAUAUGACCAUAAGCUGUGGACAUCCUAACUGCGGAUGCGGAGAUAACGGUACCGCAUUUAAAACCCCUUUCCAAUUCAAAUCGCCACUAUACCAAUUCGCCGUCCAGCUUGACGGCGUCAAUGCAACAUCCCUCUCGGGUUCUUCUCUUUUCGUCAUUUUCUUAGCUUCUCUCUCUACAGUCCUAAUUUCUCUAGUUCGUUUCCGUUCUUUUCCCUCAUUUGUUCGUGUAUCAAUAUCAUUUCCCUCAUCUGCGCGUGUAUUCAACUUCCCAGCUUCCAGAGGGAAGUUGAGUAUGGCUUUGGAGCCGCGCAGCUUGAAUGCGGCUCGAUCAUAGGCUUUGGCGGCUUCGAUAGCUGUGUCGAAAGUUCCGAGCCACAAACGGGUGCCUUUCUGGUUCGGGUCUCGGAUCUCUGCUGCAUAUUUGCCCCACGGCCUCUGUCGGACUCCUCUGUAAUGCUUUUUCUCUUCAACAGCAGCAACUCCUAAGUUGCUAUUCACUGGUUUCUGAGUCGGUCUAGCGAAUGGAAUCCUCUCGUUUUUGUUAGGGAGUGAAAUCUUCAAGGACGACUUUCGACUUGUUCGAAAGCUUGAAUCUAGAGGAUGAGUUUGAGGCUUUGAUUCAAAAUCAAAGAAAUCGUUAGUGGAUUCAAUUCCAAAAUUCUGAGGGAUUUGAAGAUUGGAUUCGAAUUUGACGAAGUCGUUACUUAAUUGAGAGACAAGUUGAGAUUUAGAAUCAAAUUUAAAACUAGUGGUUGAAUCACUAGAUUUUGGGGUAGUGAGAUCGAUAAUUUGAGGUUUAGCUUCGAAUUCGAAAAAACCAUCAUCAAUAAAGUAAUCAGAAAUUGAGAUGGCAGAAUCAGAAGUGGAAGUCUGGGAGCAUUCAGACUCACAGUGAGAACUCGGGAGAUGGAUGGUGGUUAGAGAAGAGGUAGCGGUAGAAGAUGAAGCAACAGGUGAAAGGAGAUCGCCGAGCAAAUGUUGUUUGAUGAGGUCCAAGGCAGAUGCUAGUUGAGUUGCUGCAGCCAUUUGAGAAUCAGUUGAAAUCUGUUUAAGAGGAAGAGUUGAGUGUUUUGAGUAGAAGAUGGAGUGAUAAAGGGUAUUUAAAGGAAUGCUCCGAAACGAAUUCUAUGGCUACGAGCAUCUAAAGAAGCAUCCCUCUCCCUGGCAAGAUGCUUCUCACUUUCUUCCUAUUUGGAGUGAGA